AGAGUUUGAUUCUGGCUCAGAACGAACGCUGGCGGCGUGGAUAAGACAUGCAAGUCGAACGAGAGAAUUGCUAGCUUGCUAAUAAUUCUCUAGUGGCGCACGGGUGAGUAACACGUGAGUAACCUGCCCCCGAGAGCGGGAUAGCCCUGGGAAACUGGGAUUAAUACCGCAUAGUAUCGAAAGAUUAAAGCAGCAAUGCGCUUGGGGAUGGGCUCGCGGCCUAUUAGUUAGUUGGUGAGGUAACGGCUCACCAAGGCGAUGACGGGUAGCCGGUCUGAGAGGAUGUCCGGCCACACUGGAACUGAGACACGGUCCAGACACCUACGGGUGGCAGCAGUCGAGAAUCAUUCACAAUGGGGGAAACCCUGAUGGUGCGACGCCGCGUGGGGGAAUGAAGGUCUUCGGAUUGUAAACCCCUGUCAUGUGGGAGCAAAUUAAAAAGAUAGUACCACAAGAGGAAGAGACGGCUAACUCUGUGCCAGCAGCCGCGGUAAUACAGAGGUCUCAAGCGUUGUUCGGAAUCACUGGGCGUAAAGCGUGCGUAGGCUGUUUCGUAAGUCGUGUGUGAAAGGCGCGGGCUCAACCCGCGGACGGCACAUGAUACUGCGAGACUAGAGUAAUGGAGGGGGAACCGGAAUUCUCGGUGUAGCAGUGAAAUGCGUAGAUAUCGAGAGGAACACUCGUGGCGAAGGCGGGUUCCUGGACAUUAACUGACGCUGAGGCACGAAGGCCAGGGGAGCGAAAGGGAUUAGAUACCCCUGUAGUCCUGGCAGUAAACGGUGCACGCUUGGUGUGCGGGGAAUCGACCCCCUGCGUGCCGGAGCUAACGCGUUAAGCGUGCCGCCUGGGGAGUACGGUCGCAAGAUUAAAACUCAAAGAAAUUGACGGGGACCCGCACAAGCGGUGGAGUAUGUGGUUUAAUUCGAUGCAACGCGAAGAACCUUACCCAGGCUUGACAUCUAGGGAACCCUUCGGAAAUGAAGGGGUGCCCUUCGGGGAGCCCUAAGACAGGUGCUGCAUGGCUGUCGUCAGCUCGUGCCGUGAGGUGUUGGGUUAAGUCCCGCAACGAGCGCAACCCCUGUUCUUAGUUGCCAGCAUGUAAAGAUGGGAACUCUAAGAAGACUGCCGUAGAUAAUACGGAGGAAGGUGGGGAUGACGUCAAAUCAUCAUGCCCUUUAUGUCCUGGGCUACACACGUACUACAAUGGAUGUUACAGAGGGAAGCUAAAUAGUGAUAUGGAGCGAAACCCAAAAAGCAUCCCCAGUUCGGAUUGUAGGCUGAAAUUCGCCUACAUGAAGCCGGAAUUGCUAGUAAUGGCAGGUCAGCAUACUGCCGUGAAUACGUUCCCGGGCCUUGUACACACCGCCCGUCACACCAUGAGAGUUGGGGAUACCCGAAGCCUGUGAGCCAACAGUUAAACGAGGCAGCAGUCGAAGGUAGAAUCAAUGAUUGGGGUGAAGUCGUAACAAGGUAGCCGUAUCGGAAGGGGCGG
rnacentral:rRNA from 1 species